rnacentral:lncRNA from 1 species
UUUUUUUAGUUUAAUUUAAAUUAUACUAUGGAUAAAUUAAGAAACAUCGCUACUAAAGAUGUUAAAAAUUUUUGUCCCAAAAGCGGUAGUGGUAGUAAAAAGUGAAUUACUAGCGGUAGAGGUAGUUCAAGUAGUAGAUAUACCUGUGUGUCUUCGCCUCCGAUACCGCUUGGUACAGCUUUUGAGGAAGAAAUAGGUGUAGGUGCUCA